rnacentral:rRNA from 1 species
UGGGGAAUAUUGGACAAUGGGCGAAAGCCUGAUCCAGCCAUGCCGCGUGUGAAGAAGGCCUUUUGGUUGUAAAGCACUUUAAGUGGGGAGGAAAAGCUUGUGGUUAAUACCCAUAAGCCCUGACGUUACCCACAGAAUAAGCACCGGCUAACUCUGUGCCAGCAGCCGCGGUAAUACAGAGGGUGCAAGCGUUAAUCGGAAUUACUGGGCGUAAAGCGCGCGUAGGUGGUUAUUUAAGUCAGAUGUGAAAGCCCCGGGCUUAACCUGGGAACUGCAUCUGAUACUGGAUAACUAGAGUAGGUGAGAGGGGAGUAGAAUUCCAGGUGUAGCGGUGAAAUGCGUAGAGAUCUAGAGGAAUACCGAUGGCGAAGGCAGCUCCCUGGCAUCAUACUGACACUGAGGUGCGAAAGCGUGGGUAGCAAACAGGAUUAGAUACCCUGGUAGUCCACGCCGUAAACGAUGUCUACCAGUCGUUGGGUCUUUUAAAGACUUAGUGACGCAGUUAACGCAAUAAGUAGACCGCCUGGGGAGUACGGCCGCAAGGCUA